GUGUGAAUGCAUGUUGUUUCUGGAAUACAUCAUAUUCAUUUGCAGAAACCCUGUGUAUGGAUCUUCAACACUUCUUUUUUUGUCUUCUUUUCCGAAGUACCUAAAAUAAUAGCUUUUUAAGACAGUCUUACGAUCACAUAACUUGUUGGAAAAAGCAUACCAUGGCUCACAAUCUGAAUUAAACAUUGUCAUUGUGGUAUAGAAGAAGGUGCAUGCUCAGGAGUUGCUAUCUGACUGAGUUGCUGAAGACAGCGAGUCACUGACAGAGGAGUAGGAAUUAUCAAAAGAGAAGUGUCUGCCACCCUGUUUCUUUUGUGCUAACCACCAACAGCUGGAGACCAGGCCAAAGAGAGGCAAGAGAAGCACGUCUCAAGGAAGCAUGUGCUUAAGCACGAAGAUGAACAAAGCUUCCAGGGCUAUUCAAAUCAGCUCUGGCUAUACCAAGUCCAUGCCUAUCCAUUAUACUUUCCAUAUAUUUUAAUAAAUUCAAAGAGAGCUGCUGAGAUUAAAGGGAAGAGCUUUGUGGUGGACAACUCGAAAUGAACAGGCUCUUCCUGCUGUGCAAGGCAGCGACUUGCUGAAGAUGGAGCCUGCACAUCAAAGGAGAGGAUCAUAAGGAUUCUGCCAGGUUUUAAUGCAACAUACCGGCUAUUUUGACUUGGUCGUCUUCUAAUCAAACUGGAGAUGUUUAGCUAGAAACUCCUUUCCCUGUUAUUUCAAACAUAGCCCAAGCACAGCUCCAGUGUCUGCUGAGGAUAGGUUGGGCAUGGAUGGGAGAGAGCUGACCCUACCUCGAUUUGUUGUGUUCCUUCCUUAUCUGCCCAUUCUAAUGGAAGUCUGCCACACAUCAUGGAUGCAAAGUGUGGAGCAUCAGAUGUUCACAGCUUCCCAUUGUGAAGUGAAGGUGUUGGGACCACUUUGUCUUCAGGACUGGACCAACGCUUUAACUACAAGAAAGUGUCAGAUAUGCGGGAUGAUGAUGCAUGGAAAGAAGAAAAACAUUCCUGAGUCAUCCUGUUUCCUGAGCAUAAGGAGGCACAAGAUAGUAAGUGUUGGAUUUUCAUCCUACCUUUACAUUCUGUGAUGGGGCACCAUUGCAAGCUCUCCUUACAAAGCUUUGAGCAGAGAGAUUAUCAGAACCAUGAGGUUUGUGGUGUAUUCACAACGGAACAGGCAGCUUAAAAAAGGAUGUACUAUUUGAUCAGCAGUUUCCUGCAUAUGGAAAUCUUAGGUCACCUUGCUGUUCCUUGAUGUCUAAAAUCUGCUAUCAGGCUUCUGCAAGGAAAUAUAGAUUAGUAUUCAGUGCCUUGUAGUAUUCUUUUAUUAAUAUUACUAUUUUUCAAUUUUAAGGACAAAAACAGCAGAACAGUGCUGUGAUGACAAGAAGCUGAGUGCUGAGCCCACGCAGGGCACUGGGGAGGGUCACUGGGAGUGAGUCAGGUUGAUGUCUGCUGAGAUGGUUUUGUUUGCAGUGUUUUCACACGUGUAUUCAAUAAGGCUUUUGUUUUACUGAAAGGAAGAGACACUAUACAGCAUUAUCCCGAUUUUGAAGUGACAGUGCCAAGGGGACUUCAGUAAAGGAUUUGAUGGCAAUUGAAUCUGAAAAGUAAAGCUUUGUAAUUGCUUAGUUAGUUUUGAAGUAAUGCUUAUAUUUAAGAUUUAUGUACAAAAACAGGCUAUAUCAACAGUAGUGAAGUGGUUUUGGGCCAAGUCUUUUUUAAAGCAACUUAUGAACAGAAGGUCAUUUCAGAUUUCUUUCUUCUCCUGAAAAGACACAAACACAAAUCCCACCUCGCUGUGUUCGUAUAAUAUGUAAUACAUCAUUAUGCUGCAUUUAGUAAGUGCUUGUACUUCCACAAGAAUAUCUGAGCUUUACUCUUGAUUAUAGUAAACUUCCCAAUGCAAGUAAAAGCAAUUAUUAUCCUCAGAGUUUCAGUGACCUGUUAGGAAGACAUAAGCUGUUACAAGACUUCUGAAGGCUCAUCUUACAGUCUGUAAAUCCCACCUUAAAAAUACAUAAUUUGGAGACUAUUGAGUCCUCUGAUGAUACUAUGGUAUUGAAUCAUCUUUAUAUAAUUGUGCUGGUGAAUAUAAAGUAUCAUUGUUUUCAGCAUCUUUCAUGAAAGCUGUUUUGACCUUCAGAUUAAAGGAUCCAUAUGGAUUUCCAAAUGAAAAAGUUGGAGCUCCUGUUUAAAACUUGAACUCCAGCUCGGCAUGAAGGCAUCAGAUGUGCUUCCACUUGAAAAAGCGUUGUUGUACCAGCAUAUAUCCCGCCUGAAUUUUUCUCCUGGGUAAAAUCUUAUAAAUGUGUGUAUCGUGCAUAAUGAGGAUUGGAGGUUAGCCGCUUCCAGUGAAUUCCCUUUCAAAGUGUAAGGAAGAUGCAGAGCAGCAAGGAGGAGAAAUCCAUUGGUAUUUGAGCUCUGUAGGAUGAAGAGGUUUGCUGCUGGGGGAAGAUCAAGAGGAGGCAGUAGGAAUAUUUUGGGCACUUCUGAAGGAGAGAUGGAGACCAUCUGGUAGAGAGGAUGCUUAAAGGAAAAGUGCCAGGACAGAGAUAAAAGUAAAGGGAAAGGAAAUAGUGACUGAGUAACAUCAAAGAGUGAGGCUGACUAUAGAGCAAAAAGGAAGACAUAGCAGUGACCCAACAUAGGCAAAUCAUAAUACAAAUGGUGGCACUGGGCGACGAAUCCAUAUGAAUCGGUGAAGGCUCGGGGGAAAAGCUCAGCAUUUUAAUUUCAGGAAAGUCUACAGGAAAGUGGUGUUGACAUCUUUGGAAGGCUUAUAAUUUAAAACUGAUGCAGUAAGCAGGGUUCCCGCUGCUUCAGAAAUACUGUCCUGGAGUCUAAUCCAGAUACUGUAACUACAGCAGAAUUUUAAAUGGAGAGAUGCCAAGAAGAAUGUUUCUUCCCUCAUCGGCAUCAGCAUCUUUUCAUUUGAAUGACUUUUAGGGCAUUAGAUGUUUCCGUUGAACUGCUUUCUAAGGCUCGUGUCCUGAAGCAUUGGUUGGUGUGUGGUCCUUCCCUGUGUUGAGCUGGAGCCGAUCUCAUGUAAAGAAAGGAAGAUGCUGGUUUUGCUUUUCUCCUGCUGAAGGAGAAUAACUUUGGGCCAGUCCCUUUCUCCUGCCAAAGUCUGAAAAACUUUUCUGUCAUUGGAAUUCCACUGAGAGUGGAGCAGUGGUAAGCCCCGUGGCUUCUAUGGGUAGAGCAGUACAGGCUAAGAGAGUCUGAUCAUCUCUUGUGCUUUGUUUUACGCCCAACCCUAAACAUGGUGAGUCAGGACAGGCGAUGGGCCUAAUUAUAAAGACUGUCUGUGCUCCUGCCUCUCUUACUCCUUCCCAUCUGUAUUUAGGAGGACUUUCUGCAUCCUAGGGGAACCGUGCUUUAGGAGGAUUUGAGAUCAAGGCCUGAAAUAAUCUCAUGGUUUUCUUCCUGCCUGCCUUUCUUUCCUUCUUAACAAAACAGGUGUGUUACUUUUUUUACUGAAGUCGGUCCAAGGAAAGGAAAAGAAGAAAGUACUUCCAGAGGGUAAUUAGUCCCAUCUUAAAACAAGUGUGUAAGACAGGUAGGAUAAGUCUCUCUCUGAAAGUGCCAAUCUGUCACCACUAUCUAUAGAAGGAGCCUUCACGAGUAGCUUAGAGUAGGUGUUUGACUUUUACACAGUUAAAUUUAGAGGAGAUGAUUGCCACUUUUUAAGUCAGUCAAAGUGCUUGUUUAUAAUUGAUUAACCAUUAUAGACUGAAGAGUUGUGAGAGAGAACAAAAGUAAAAAUAUAAUGCCAUUGAUAGAGAUAUCGUGUAAUACGGAAUAGCAGUAACAGCAAUUGCAGAUGGUUAACAUUUUCAUUCCCCAUUGUUUUUAUUUUACUGUUAAAUCUUCCCAGAUUUUAGGUCUUGUUUGAUCCUGUAGAAGGAAAAAAUUUCCCCUGCUUUAGUGUAAGCAAAAAACUGCUGAAAUAUUUGUAGGAUUAAGAAGUGAUUUGUCCUGGAAAUGUCAAUUCUUAUAUGUAGGGUCAUUAAUCCAUAAAAUGAAUUUGCAAACAUUUCUAAGUUCCCUUUCGUGUUGUUGGUGUUUUACUUGACAUGCUUCUGACUGCUCUCUCAAUGAAGGCUGCACUCAGAAGAUCCUGCAAGGCGUACACUGACAGUGUGUGGGACUUGGUUUUGCAUGUGUCUUGACCUGGCAUAUACAGUCUGUUACAAUGAAAUAAACUCACUUGUCAUUUAAGAGUAUUAAUCAUAUUUCAGGCUGUUGCCCAAGAAUUUCAUUGUGUACAAUGCUUUCACCAGCCAGAACCAUACUGCAGAAAGUAAAUAGAUAAAAUCACUUUCUCUAGUAAAAAUAAUUCUUGACUACAGCCUCGCUUGCAGAGUAGAUAAUGCUUGUAGAAAUGGCAGAUGCUCUGAAGGUUUGGAGUAUUGUGACAAUAAGAAUUUUAAACAAAGUUGGAAAAAGCAGAUGGUAUAUAUGGACGGGAAAUCCUGUGGUAGUUUUGAUUUUAUGCAAGGAAAAGAAGGAGUUCCUUAGGUCCAUAAAUCUGUUUGUUUGCAGUACUCAAACAGAGAUUUUCAUGAUCUUAGCUUUCCUUUCUUCAAAACGUUGCUUUCAAGUACAGAUGGGCCUAUAUACCACAAGUUUGGGAUCCAGAUUGGGGCUUGGACCUGACAUUCAUCAGAGCAUAAGCAUAUUUGAACCUAGCAUUUGAGGUCAGCCUCUUGUGGAGUUAACCACCUACUGAUUGAGUAGAUCUCUCCUAUAUGUCAAGGCAUAGGUGUAGAAAGUACAAUGAUUUUAUUUAACUUGAUCUGUAAGGUAUUUAAAUUUAAUUUGGAAGACUUCUCAUGAAGCAGGAGGCUGUAUUUAUAAUUAUUAUUGUGUCUGAAGGGUGAAAUUACAUAUGACAAUUAAAUAUGGUGGAUAUUAUAAUAAGAUACAUGCUUAAAGUGGUUUCCAAUCUAAAUGUGUUUGAAGUCAAUAGGAGUACCUACGGCAAAGUAUUCGGAUCCUGAUUUAUAAUCUACCACUUUUACCCCAGUAUGGUUAUUUAUGGAUAAAUUGACCUGUUCCUAGAAUAGAAUAUGAUAUGUUAGUAAAACUGUACGCCUAGGUGUGGAAAGACAAUUAGCCUAUAAACACACUGACUUCCUCUUUAGGUUGAGAACACCUCAUAUUUCCAAGACUAAUGGUUUCUAAUCUGUUUUUAAAUGUUCCAUUUGGAUAGUGAAGGCGUAACUAUCAAAACACUGUAAAAUCAUAAUGCCUGUGCAGCUAUAAAUUACUGUUUUCAAAAUGAGCUGGAGGUCUCCAACUUAUUCCCAAGUGCAGAAAAGUUAGAUAACAUAAAACUGCUCAGAAAUGACUAGAAGCAACUUUUCUGGCUUUUUCCAAAUGCUAGGAAAUCGUGGAUCUGCCCACUAACUCCCUAGCAAUGCCCAUAUGGAUAGCAAUAAAGCUAGUCCCAUAAAGAAUACUUGAAUUGAUCAAAAGCAUUUCAGAUUAGAGAUCAACAGAAAGAGCUGCGUUGCUUUUUGUUUGUUUGUUUAUUUAUUUAUAUUCUGGAAAUUUCUCUGAUACAAAAAAUAUCUGACUUAUUUUUCAUUCAUCAAAUUGUGGACUGCUUCAUAUGAGAUACGAACUGCAUGACCUGCUGAUGGCGAAGUGCUGCUUCCAUGGAAGAUGCAGCUUUAAACAAUAAGAGAAAGCAUCAACCCUCUCCUGCCAUAUUUUGAACUUUGGAGUGUGCACAAGGAUGGAAAAAUACAGAAGGAUGGAAAAACACAAGGAGUGGUGGGACACAAUGCAAAGUGAGUCUGAGCUGCCUUUAACUUCAGCCUUUGCACUGUGCCAAUACACCAGGAAGAUGCAGUUUAUUCUACCAGGAAUGCUGAUAUUGCAAACACCUAUUUAAACACAGAAGUGUUGGAGGUUUGAACAUCUUUUAUGAAUACUACACCACUGUUUUAAGAAAAGACAAAUACAAGGAGGGAGAAAACAGAACCUCUGGGAUUUUUCUUUUUCCCUACAAAGUGCUAUGGGUGAAGGCUGUGGAGAAAAAUCUUCCCUGCCAGAAGCUGUGUACAGCAUGGGUUUCCCCAGUUCAGAUUUGAACCUCCCACCAGUCGUGUGACCUUCGGGCUGUGGGUGAGUCUGUGAUGACUUUCUUCUGUCUACCCAAAAGCUGCAUCCCUAAUGCAUAAUGUCUUCCCAGCAAUAUAAAAUAUCCCGGGUUGGGAUAUUCUAUGGAGAAACAGAUAUUCUGCUGUGAAAGACUCAAUGCAAUUGCAAUUUUUUGACAAAUGGAGUUUUUCUGAUCUUCCUGGGAGUUGUAGUGGCCAUAGCUGGUCUGAGUGCUCAGUGUUAUGAUGUGUUCUUCUGUGAUUGACUUGAAAUUUGUACCUGAGGGGUUUGGAGUAAGAGACUGAUGUUGGUAUUUCUUUCCUUAUGAGAUUUGGUGUUGCUCUUGUUCUUAGGAAAUCCUCACCUAGAGGCGAGAGUACCUUCAGAGAUCUAUUCCCUGCUGCUGAGCAUGGAAAUCUCAAUAACUAACUUUUUUGGAAGGGGUUCUGUUCAUAUGAGCUUUGCUUUCAUGUACUUUGGGAUUGUUUCCUGUAGUUCAGUGUUUCUGCAGUGAAGUGACAAUGCAAUCUAAGAGAUGGUCCAUCUCCCCACAGAACACCUUUCUCUACCUUUGUGCUUUCCUUUGGUCUCUAUAGUUUCCUAUUUUUUUUUUUUUUGGUAAUCUUUCAUCUUUCUCAUUUCAAGUGUCCACUAGUUUUGAUCCUUACCAAAGAGCUUAUUUUUAUUUCUCAACCCUUUUGGUCUCAGAUAAGGGGAUUGAUCUUAACACUUUGAAAUCAGCAGUCAUUUGACCAUGGGCUUUGGAGACAGUUAAGCUCCCGAGGACCAAAACAGUGAAUACAGAACAGAAGCAGCCUUGAUUUAAUAUUGUGAACCUAAUAAGCCUAAUCCUCUGCUCUCUGUUUUUUUUUUUUCUGCUUGGACAUGGCCUACUGUACAGCAUUUCAGGUUUGAGGGGCAUUGAGAGAAAUCACCGUCACUUUCCAGAGCAGACAUCAAAGGCAAACUCACUUUUCCCAUUGCUUUUUAUCUUCCUUCUAUUUCUGAUGCAUACUUCAUAUUUUUUCCAUGCUGCCGCUCCAAUUUUUGCCCACUUUUGAUUUCUCUAUUAACAUUAAUUAGGCUCAUGAGCUUGAUCACCAGGUGGGUUUUCCCCAAGCUUCCACUGCAAUACUUCCCAUCAGCAGCAGACUUGUAAGGGAAUUUUGUUAAGCUGCAGAUAGGAGCCUAAUGUUAUUGGAUACGGAGUGUUUCAGUGCUAAGUGUGUUUUAUAUCAGUUGAAUUUGCCAGGAAGCAUUAUUGGCUUGAUUAUUUUUAAGCAGACAGGCUCGAGGGCCCUUGACCAGCAUCGGGGGGCAAUGAGAGAAGAGGGCCGUUAGCCAGGGGAAUGAUUCAUACCUCUGGAGCUCACCAAGUGCUCGUGUGUCUCAGGGAAGUAGCUCUGCAUCUUCCAGCUGAGGAAAAUGCAGAGAAGGGGGGGAAAAAAAGCCCUAAAAAAAAAAAAAAGAAUGAAAGAAAGAAAGAAAAAGAGAAAAGUAAAUAAAUCCUUGGAUUCAUUUCUGGAGAAUCUCAGCGCAUGUAAAGUCAGCUGCUAGGAAGGAAGAUUGGCACACACCUUUUGGACAUUUUGUGCAUGGUUUUCCUGGGCAGGUUCUUCCAGCGUUAAGUUUUUCCUGUAUUGAAUGUUAAGUAGCAUAAAAUACGAGCUGUCACGGGGUGAGCUGCAGCUUUUGUAGCCUUUGUUUUGUGAUGAUUUGCAUAUUCAGAAUCUGCCUUGGGUCUUCUUGUUUUUAUCCUCCUUCUUUUAAAACUGCAUUUACCUGAAGAAGGGCUUCAUUCUGAGUGCACCAAAUAAGCGUUUUCUCUGCAGUUGACUUUAAUCCGACCAAAAGAAUGAACACUUGGAGCAGAAAACCUUCUUUGGGUCCUACAGGGCAUUAGAACAUCUCAGGUACUGGCUGCUGCUUUAAUAAAAGGAUAGGAUUUCCAUUUACUUCAGGCAGGCUUAAUGUAUUGUUCUUGUAGUGAGACAGUCAGAAUGAGUCAGGAGCCAAAGAAUACACUUUAUAGACACAAAUAAUCGUAAAUUCAGAAUGUCACCUUUAGGCAGAGGCAUUUUUAUUAUUGUUAGUGGAGCUGCUGAGUAGGUUUGAUGUUUUAUUCUCUUGAGUACUAAAUGUUCCAGAGUACCACAGCCCUAUCUUUAUCAGGCUCACAAGGAGGGAGCACAGCCAAACUUGCUUCCUAUACUUCUCUAUGAUUGAUAGCAGAUGGCAUGCUUUAAAAUAAACCUAUCCAUUAGCAGUCCUCAGUGUUUUUACUCAAGGCAUUUACAACUGUCUCACCCAGAAAACACAUUUGCUCCGCAAGCUCGCUUCAGUCUGCAACAGCUGUACAGGUGCAAAUCUUUCAUUAACUCUUAAACAGUGGUGAAAUAAAAGUUGCACUGUAUUUUAUUUUUAGUGGAGAGGUUGUUUCUCAAAGGAGGAGUGCAUUCUAUUAUUCUCCCUUUGCAUAUGGCAGAGGUUCAUGUUAACUGAUGCAAAGUCAGAAUAUUUUUCUUCUGUCCUCCUUCAAAUUUUUAGGGUGAGACAAAUGUGGAUGUUUGUAGGUGUACUCUAAAUGGCAAUACAAGGGGAUUGUAAGUGGGGGCUGGGAUUCCUGGGGUCGCCCAGCUCCUCACCUCAAACAGCCCUGUGGGGGGUUCCUUCAUGGUACCCCCACCACUGCUUCAUCCUGGGGCUACUUUUUUUCUGUUCAUUUGGAAAAUGCAGGGUCACACACACACACACAGAUAUGCAUUCAACCCGAUUCUGAGCUCCCUUCUCAGUAAAUACAUUACUAAAAUCUGUCCCUGUAUUCACUUUACUUUGCUUAGAUUUCUAUGCAGUAGCCACAGAGGAUAUUAAAAUUGGCCUGGCAUUCCUGCCAAUACAACGAACCCUCAAGCACCUCCCAAAACAUUAGUGCACCAGCAGAUAGACCUUUAAAAUAUUAGUAGCAAACCUUAAAUAUUAGCAUUUAGCAUUAAUAUUAGACAAGACCUUAUAAUAUUAGAGCCAGAUAAAACAGUAUUAGCAGGGGUAUAGGAGUCAUUAAGCAGAAUAACCAUCACUGACUAAAUGGAUGCUGAAACUUUUACAUGCAAACCAGUGUAGAUGAUAGGGACUUCAGAGAGACGAGAGGAUCCUUUCAUUUAAAAGGAGGUUGUAGAGACGAAGGUUAGGGAUUUGAAAGCUGGUAAAUAAAACAACACAGCGGGACAAGUGAUAUGGAAUGUGCCAUCUCGUUAGCCACAAUCACGUCCCGUGUUAUUUUUCUUAAGCUGAAAAGAUAAAACAAGCAGACAGGCAAUAUUCUGUUGCAAAUAAAUGGAAAUUGGGGCAUUUUUUUGUAUAAAUCUCGAGUUGCAGGAGGAAAAUACAAAUGCGUUCUCAGCACUGAAGGUCUAUGUAGGCUAACAGAGGUGCUACAGUAAUUUGGCAGGAUGGCGUGUGGCUCGCAUGCCCUUUUGCUGGCAUGAUGAGCAAAGUCUGGGGAACCUGAGCUUGGCACCAUGAAGGAGGGGUUGAAGCAGCCCAGGGUCUACAUAGAGCAGUGCUCCGGAGAGCAGCCAUCACCAUAGCUCAUGUCAGCUCGUCCCGCGAGCACCUGGAGGAUUUGGUGCUAAAUGAGAUGGGGGGAGAAAAACAAGGCCAGCUGUAGACAUAAGAACUUUAAGAGCAUCAGUGCUUGCUUCCAGCUAAUCUCUCCUGAUGACUCCUGUAAGCAGGCGAGGCUGGUCGGUGCUGUUAAUUAUUCAAAGCCCCGCACCAGUUUCAUAGCUGAGUGGUGUAAGAGGAUGUGUAGUGUCCCCAUUUCUUAGUCUGUCUGGGGGAAAGGCACGAAACGCAGCUUCUCCUGCCAUCCCUGCCUGCCAUCCCGCUUUACAGGUGGGAAAUGUGAGCCGGAGAGAGGCUGCAGCCAUCCCCAUCCCUUGGCCAUCUGGCAUUGUGAAACCUCACCUGUCUCUGUAGGGCCUGAUUUGCUGAGUGCAGGGAAGGCAUCAGGAGAGUCAUUCUGUAUCUUAACAUAAUGAAUGCACUGCUUUGAGGUAUUGUGCCCUACACUUUUGUGUGCAGAAUAAUCCAAAAGAUAUCCAAAAUAUAUGAUAUCUCCAUUGUUAAUGCUCCAUCAUAGGAAGAAAGGGAGGGAAGGGCACAUGCUUCAAGGUUUGCAUUACGUCCACAAUGUCCUCAGGCAGUACAAACAGCACGCUUUGAGAAUUACACAUAUUUUCUCCAUUUAUCACUUGCAUUAAGACAUAGAGUGGAAAAGGGGUGGCAGUGGAGUCAUAUGCAGCAUUAAAUACAUAUUCCUUAUGUUGUUUGCUGUCCCAAAGAGGCUGCCAAGGCAUUUUAGUACAUCUUACUGUAUGAUGCAAAGCAGUUGGAAAAAAGUAGAAAAAUAUCCAUAGCAAAAAAAAAAAAAAAAAAAAAAAAAAAAAAAGCAAUAAGAUCUCUUAGAUCUGUACUAGAAACAAGUACCAGUACAAUGCUGAUAUGUCAAUUACAUGCUUUAUCUACAUACAGCCAAUGUACCUGCCAUUGCAGCUUCUUUUAGUUCCAUUAGAGAAGGCAACAUGUAUUUUCUUAUGACUUUUGGAAUUGCUGAUUGACUUUUUUUUGUGAAAUUGAGUUUCUGUUUGGAGCCCAGAUCACACAGAGCUCCUUUAGCUUGGAGGUGGGAAGUGAAACCACUCAACUUGUGUUGCGCUUAGAGAUGACUUCUCUGUUAGCUUCUUUUGGUCCACUGGUGCUGUGGGGGUGGAGGUACCCAGACUGAAAUGAUUUGCAGCCUUCCAAAGGGGAAAAGUAACUGUGCAUGGAAUAACCGUGUGUAAAAUAGCAUCUGCAAUGCUCAGAGUCUGGUGUGUUUGGUUGCCACUGACCUCAGUGUGGCUAUUUCCAGGAGUCAGGGUGCACAGGUGCCUAAAUAUCUACAGGCAUUGGCAUGUACCAUCCUCCAGAGAGGCUAGGAAAGGUUUUCUUAUUUCAAUGAGAGCCACAUUCAGCCUCAAAAUUAAGCAUAUUCUUAAGUGCAUAUAUGAGCUGGGGGCCAUAGAACACAGCAUAUUAAGAUACCACACAUCACUGCAAAUUAUGUAGGAGCUAUACAGUAUAAUUCAAUUUAGUAAAAAAAAAAAAAAAAAGGUCCUUUUAUCCCCCCUUCAAACCUCUUUAUUUAUUAAUGAGCUAGAAAGAUGUGACGUUAUUAAGACAUGAACCAAUUUGCCCUGGAUGCCAUCCAGCACACCAGGAACCUGUGUUGCUCUGUAAUAGCCCUUUUUUCUGAAGGAAACACUAAGUCCCAGGCCCACCCCAAGCUGGUGAGUGCUGGAGGAGGGCCUAUGGCCUGCAGAAGGGGAGGGUGGAGAGGGGCCAUGCUUAAUCCCCAGUAGAUUUAGCCUUUUGGUGAGUAAGAUGGAUUUCUGAUGUUGGCCUCCAUGCCAUUCAUAGCAGUGUUCCCAGUAGUAAACUUGUGCCUGCACUAAAAAUCCCCCUCUCAUGCCCCCACUUCCUUGCCAAAACUAAGCUCAACUAAAAUAAAUCAUAUUUUAGGAAGCUAAUUGUGCAGCCAAAUAGCAGAAAGGUAUUGAAAAACUGUUGUGUGCCUAACAUUAAAUGAAUUUACAUUGGCAGUAGGGAGCAUGCAUAACAAAAAUAAAUACAGGGACAUGGCAAAAGUGUAAGCAGUGGAAUUUAAACAAAAAAAUGUAUGUAAUGCCAAACAUUGGGAAUGGUAUUCAGACUUACUGCAGAACUAAUAUUCUAUGCAGUCACUGCACACAAUUUUUUACAGUUAAAAUACAUUCUGAAUGAAGUUUGCUCUUUUAUCAGUUUAUUGUAUUUCUUGGAAAAUUGAAACGUGUCAGGAUAUGCAUUUUUCUCCCUGCUCCUGAAGUGUGUAUAGGUCCCUUCACCAACCUGUGGGCAAUACGUUAAGAAAAACAAAGGGGGAAAGCUCUGGCAUAGGCUGCCCUGUAGAGGGGUCACCGUCCCUAGAGGUGUUCCAGAACCGUGGGGGUGUGGCACUGAGGGAUGUGGUCAGUGGACAUGGUGGGGGUGGGUUGGUGUUGGGCUUGGGGAUCUUAGUGCUCAUUUCCAACUUUAAUGAUUCUGUGAAAAAAAUAAAAUGAGGAAGAAAAAAAAAACCCAAACAGUUUUUGGAGAAGAUUUUAGAAGUUUCCUGAUGGAUCGGCAUCCUUGAGAUUAAACAUUCCCAUAUGUAGGUUGACAUUUGAAAAUGUAAGUCUUAUGAAAGAUAAGAUGGAAAUUAUGAGAAAUGCAGCCUUAAAUAUUUGGAAGCAUGACUUCCUGGUUUGCAUGGCAGUUGGCAAAACUUUCAGGGGAAAGAUGCAUGUGGUAUAGGGCACUCAUUUGCCUAAAAGUUUCCUCCUAUCACCUAAUGUUUUGGUGCUCAUCUCUUCCACACCUUUGGAGGAGAGCUGCAGCAUCCUCUCUGCGGUGCUUUCAACCCCUCAGACAGAUGUUUUAGAUCAAUUGCUCGAAACGGAUCAGUUUAGCAGUCAGAAAACACUGUCAGAAAAGGUUUGUGGUAGAGAAGACAAAACUGUGAAAUGAAAUUGAACUUUUAUCCCCAUUUGGAUGGGAACUGUGCGUGGCUGGAGAUCCCAUGAGGAUGAACACAGUGACCUAUCGUGCUUUGAAAAACCAAACAGAUGACAGGGCUCAUCUGCAGCCAUCAAGCAACAGCAGCUUCUGAGAAAUGGUGUGACCACUAUCAUGCAGUGCAGCAGGAACUAAGGGAAAGAUAAUCAUGGGAAAGAGGAAGGUCCUCCUGCAGCAAGGCAAGAUGAUGGUGAUCUCCUGCCAGGCUACAAGUAGCACUGCUGCCCUUGCUGUGAAGGUGUGACAACACAAGGCAUGCCGUUGCUGCUGGACAUUGUUUGAGCCAUGAUUAAUGUGCCAGCAGUAAUGGGUGUCAGCAUUGUCUGGCUGCAACUGGCACACCUUAUUUCUGAGAACUCAGGGUACGGAGGCUGCUGUGGUCACUGUGGCAACCAUGAGCCCUUCAACAAGACAGAGAGAUCUCAACCCAAACCGCUAUCUGUCUGCCUCUCCCUGGGUAUGUGUCAGCACGAAUCUCCAAGUGUACUUUCUUUCCCUUAGAAGGUGUUGUGUGCUGUGUCCCGUGGUGACCUGCACAUAUGCUGAGCUGGAACUCUGCUUGGCACCAUUCCUCAGCCUAUCCAUGUUGCAGUGCAAUCGUAAUAUCAUGAGAUGGCUUGGGUUGGAAGCGACCAUAAAGAUCACAUAGUUCCAACCCCUUGCCGUGGGCUAUGUGCCCCCUACCAGCUCAGGCUGCCCACGGCUCCAACCAACCUGGCCUUGAGCACCUCCAGGGAUGGGGCAUUGUCAUGUCUCCAAUGGCAAAUGUGUUCCUAUCAUGGACUGUGCCUCUGCCCCUCCAUCACUACUGUGCCCUGCAUGCCUGUGCCACUUGCUUUUUGGUCGCAUUGUACUUUGUUUCAAGAUGUUUUGCAGCAUGUUGCCUUUGCCUGCUUGCCUCCCUCCGUCUCCGUGCUGGAUGAGUUUGCAUUGUGUGGUGUUUUCCUCUUCAUUUAUUGCAAACAAAUCUGGUCUCUGCCAUUUGUUUACUCUUAUACUCUGUCUUUAUGCCUUGGUAUGCAUUUUUAAUUAGAUGCGCUUCAGUUCUUUCGCUGCUUGUUAACACUUUCGGAUGGAAAGUGCGGUCCCCACCAGCUCUGCUAGUAUUCUCUGUGUGGAGGAAAUGCAGAUUUGUUUCUCCUGCCCCUGAUUAUCAUCCAGUACCAAGACUCGGGCCCCAGCCAGCCUGCCUGCUCAGACCCUAUGUUCCUACUGGGGAUGUUAAGAUGGUUGCCCCUUCUCAGCCAGUGUAAUUGAGGGUGCUUUACUCCAAAAUACUCUGCAUACAGAGAAGGAGUGUUUGGGCUGUUUGCUUGGACUGUUUUCAGUCCUCGUCAGCUCCAGUGUGGAUGUGUGACAUAGAGGAGUCCUGGGCAGAGCCCGCGGUGUGUGCAAAUCAGCUGCGUGCUGUCCCAAGCCCUUCUGCACACUAUGAUCAGGAGCAUCCUGGGGAUGUUGGCCACAGAAUAAACAGAGGAUGGAUGGGCCUGGAUAAGGAUACUGAAACCCCAAGCACAAGGCAGUAUUCACAAAAAGGCAUCUUUCUUGAGUGCCACUAUUGAUAAAGCAUCAUUUCUUUUUCUUAAAAAUAGUGUGAGCCCAUUUGUGCUUGUUCUAUUUUGUUCUGCUUCUGUAUCUGACUCAUGCCAUGGGCAGGGGCCUUCACCCUCCCUAGUGCUCUCCUAGACCACCAGCUUUCUGGAGAUGGUGUGGGAACUGAGAUGGAAAAUCUUGACCCCACUCCACCCUUCCCUUCCAGUUUGCCUGCCCUGCUGAAGCAUUCACUCACCUCCCUGUUUUGCCAGAAUUCGUGUGUUCACCAGAAUUUAAGUUCCUGAGAGGGAUGGCAGGACUGAAAAGAGGUGAAAAUGUCUCUUCCCAUCUCUGAGAGUGUUCCCUGACCCGACUCUCUGACUGGGGGCGAGGUUGCCAGAGGUCAAUAUCCACUUCAGUGAGUAGAGAGAUCGAUAUCUGCUGAAGCCAAUGCCCAGGAUUGUUUCCUCUUCCUUGCCAGUGCUAUAUUUUAUAGAGAACAGCCAAGAAAUAUUUCUCCUCCCUUCUAAGGAGAAGAAGGGGGAGGAAAAAAAAGAAAGAAAAAAAUGGAGAAAAAGAAAAAAGCUUUGUCUUCAUACUUUCUUCCCCCAGGAGGGCAUUGCAUUUAGCCUCUGCUCUGCUUUUUGUUAUCCAUUUGCAUGGCACGAUGUUUGCUUUGGCCAAUAGGGCAGCGCUGGCUCCUUGACUGGGGUGGGGUUCUGCCGGUACCCAGCGGUGUGCAGAAUGGGGACAUUCAGCCCUCAGCCCUAGGUAUUUUGGGGAUGCUGGGAUGCAGAGGACAUCCCAGAUGGUGCGGUUUCAUGGGGAGUGCCAUGGUGGUGGGAGCAAAGUGCUCAGUGCUGAGCCUGAGUACUCCAUGGAGCCACUCCAUGGAGCAACAUCGUGUUGGCAGGAGGAUGAGGUGUAUGAGCUAAUAGGGCUUUUCCAUUUUAAUGUCUAUUCAAAAAUGACUCUUGGUUGCUGUUCUCAAACUCAGCACCAACCGUUCCUUACACCACACAUCAGAUCUUUCUUUCUUUUCUGCCCUUUGCUUCAUGGAGAAGGCUUUAAAGCAAACAAACACCAAACUAUGAGAAACCAAGGGAAGAUGCAGACUGGCCCACUCGUUAGUGCCGGAGUGUGGAAACUAUGAAGACUUCUUUUUUUAUUACCAAUGCUGGAAAGCACAGUCACCGAGUGGGCUGGAAUACAAGUUAUGCUACACGCAGUAGUUAAAAAAACCUGCAAAAAUGGGUGUAACCCGUGGCUGUGGUACAACUGGCCUUUCAGCCCCCACUUGAGAUUCGUCCAUCCCAGGGGGAAACUGUGGUUUGGAAGAACAGUGUACAUUUAAUUUCACUCGGAGAACUUAUUGGAGUUGGCACUUCAAGAAAGACUCUGAAGUAUAUUUUUUGUCAUGAUGAGUGGCCCCCUCACCACUGCAUUUGAUUGUGUUGGAAGCAGAAAAGUUAAAUUCUUAUAAAAUGAUGAUUUACAAUCCCUGAUGAUCCAGGUAGGGCGCGCGGAUUGCGCCAGCGUGGUUAUGGGACUCCAAUCUCAUCCUCUCUCAUUGCUGUGAGAAAAUAAAACCGAAAUGUAAAAAAGCUGAAAACACAUCCUCUGAUGGCUCGGGGAAUUUUCUUACUCAUACGUUAUCUUUCCUAGUAGUUUAAGUUAUUUUGUCUCCACUAAAACCCAAAGCAAAACACUGCCCUGACACUUUCCCCUUGAUUUCUGAUCUGCGGCAGCCAAAUUUAUUUUUAUCUCGUGUCGUCUUUUCCCCCAUGGUUAUGCAAAUCCUCGGAAUAAGGGGCAAGGGGAAAAGCUAAUUUUAAAGCCAGUAAAUUCCAGUGGGAGAUUUCUUCAGUCGCUCCAAGCGGGACUAUCCUGGGUGCUGUUGCAGAGCUGUGGCUACCUCCAAAUAACACAGGGGUCUGAUUCAGUCAUAGCCUGAAACAAAUGUCAGCACCUUUACUGGAAAAUGUAGUAAACAGUGGAUUAGACAAACGAGAGGGCUGGAAAUGGGUCUGCUUCAAGUCUUACCGCAUACCUUGUGGAGUGAUGUCUGGAGAUGGUGGAGUUGUGUAUCCUCCGUUGAGACUGCCUUCAUGGCACAUUUGUUUCAAGGCAUGCAAUUGAGACGCUCGGAUACCGAUGUUCAGAGCCCUCUUCUCCUUGCUUACCUAAAUUUAGUUAAAGAGCCCUUGAGAUAAGUAGAAGUGCUGCAGCCACAGUCCUAGGGAGAAGUGUUCACCUGCUUGUUGAUUCACUGCCGGCUGUGUUCCCUGACUGCAAUCAGAGCACAUUUUCCCCUUCAGAAGUUUAGAAUCAAGGAGAAGGUAAACACAUGCCAAAUCUUGCAGUGAUGUUGGCCCGCUCCCAAAGUUGCAACAUAAUGAAGAAAACGUUCAGUUUAGAACUCUGUGCCCCUUUUUUACAACAUUCCUUAAGUUACUCAUGACAGAUGCAACUUUCCUGGCUCCAGAGGUAGUGAAAAUAAACCAUUACAUAUUGCAAAAACUUACGAAAACAAAACAACUGGAAUUCCCAUGCUAUGUCUCUGAUCUAUCUGUAACAGGCUGAAACCAAGAUUCUGAGCUGUUAUCCUCAAGGAUAUUGCAUGAGCAAGCCCUCUCUACCAUGGCAUUACUGCUUCAUCCCAGGAAUAAUUCACCUGAUGCACCCUGAGACCAUGCUGCCUUUUUCACAGGGUAAUGUUAAUGGCUAAAAUGAUCAGAUGGGAUGUGACCUUCGGCUGCCCUGGGCAGAUUCUCCUGUGAGUCAGUGGUGGAUUUGGUUUCUACAGAGCUCAGCGACCUGCACCAGUCAAUGCUGGGGACUUCUCAAAGAAAUGGUUCCAAAUUCUCCCAGUGUUGAGUUAGCAUACUCCAAGAGGAACCCACCAGUUACAGAGGGCUUUGUAUUACUGGUCCAGGAGCAAUUUCAGUGUCAAAAUUGCCCCAGGAACUUUGGGAAUAGUUGGGCAAAAUGAUGGUCACAUCUGCCACCUCUCAUGAUGUUCCAGUUGUUUACUUAUUAGUGAAGGUGACUGUACUGUGGGACUGUACAGAGCCAUGCUGGAUCAGAAAUGGAAAACAGAACCAUAGCCAGCAACAGAUGGAUAGAAGAAUUUUGGCUGGAUGUUGCACAAAAAGGUCUACGUACUCUUAGGUUUGUGGUAGAAGAGUUCUCCAAGAUGCUAAUUUUAGGUACAGUUUGAUGUAGAACAUUUGUUCUUCAAUAUCGACGACCUUCUUCAAAAGCACACAUUAUUCCAGACCUUGGGUAUGACAUAAAGGGUUAAGCUGUCCUGUUGUACGGAGAAGCCAGAGCCGCCUCACUGCUCUGUGAAAUCCAAGGAAAGCAGUGGCUCCCGAAAUGCCCUCCCUUGCCUGAACAGUUUGAAGGGAGAAAACACUUCAACUGUGGCUUUCCCAACAGCCUUUUCCUGGGAUGGAUAUUUUCUUCUACAGAAGAAACUUCUACAGAGAAAUUCUGAUACGGUCAACUAACUAGAGCAUCUGGUGUAUGCAGCUGGUCUAAGGAUUCAGCAAGAGGUGAGACCAGGAGCUGUUUAAUCACCACAAACAUGAAGACUAACCCAAGCAUGCUCUCCCUUCUCUGGAGGAAGUCAAGCAGCAGCACUGAGGCAUAAAUGUUCAAGUCCCUUCCAGACGUCUUGCCUGCUUCUGCCUUGAGUCACUAGAAAAACAAGGUGGUUUUGCUGGGUGGAGAUUUGUGUCAGAAUAACUUGCAGAACCGAGCCCUCAGUUUGCAAACGGCGGCGAACUUCAGUUCAUUAAAAGAAAUUUCAGAGGUGAGCUUCGUGAUGCUUUAAACAAUCACUGGAGGAAAAUAUUGGAGCUUUCCACCAAGGCCGUGAGCCAAGCCAGGUUCCAUCUGUGCACUCUCCUCUACUUGAGUGGUCACGUCCAUGUGCCAUUACUAAGGAUGUAUGGUGGAAUCAUGCCAAGCCUUCAACCUCACAUUUUGAACUUCUCAAUAAGAAAGACGGGGGGAUGGUUUUAAAAAGCAAAAGUCCAUGUUCUUAAGCAUCAUCCUCGCUCUUGGUAUUACUGGCAACGGCUGCCCAGGAAUCACUGUCCCUGGAGGUAUUCCAGAACCACAGAGAUGUGACACUGAGGGACACAGUGAGUGGACAUGGUGGGAGUGGACUGCGGUUGGACUUGAUCCUAGAGGUACCUCUGAGAGACAAAGGUCAGGAAAUGGGCUCCUUGCCAGGCCACGGCCACGAUCCAGGUUUUCUGAGACUGAGUACAUUCAUCUGAGCUGUUAGCUGCUACGCUCCACCGCAUCCCUGUAUGAUCUGCCUAGGCUUGGUCCCCCAGAGGAAAUUUCUGCAUGCAUACUGUAUAUGAACUUUAGAUAAAUAAAUAAACACGAGAAACAGCUUCCAGAUAAUUGAAAGCGAGUGAAGGAGGGAGCAAAAAGAAAACAAUUUCUCAGGGGAGAAGCAAGCUGAGGUGGCAGGUGCAGCCUAAAUUCAGCCAAGGUAUUUUGGUUGUUCACUACCUUCGCGUAAUUAAAUAUUGAAGCACGCUGAGCUGUGGUAUCAACAUCCGUAUGGUACAAAUACCUUUUCAGCCCAGCUGGACUCAGCUGCAUUAUCUGUGACCUGAAAAGCACACGCUCACCUUGGUUAAAUGGGGCUCGACUCAGCAAUAUUCAGCAGAGCUGCGGCGGUUCCUGGCUCUGGCCACCAAGGCUCCACAGGAUUUUCACUGCUCAGGUGUUGCAAAGCCUAAUCCUUAUUCAGGAACCAAAACGCUCCCCUCUCCUUGCCUGCGGUGCUUGGAUGCCUGCCUUUGGCAGUAGCCCCAGACUCCUGCAGAAGAUGAAGACAUCCCUCCAUGCCUAUAGAUGGAAAAGCGCCAACAUGGAUGCCAUCAGAAGGACGCAGCUGAGCAUAUGCUGAGAAAAUUGUGGCAUCCAUACUGUACAUGGGGAAGGGCUGACUGAACACACCAGUUUGUUGAAGCUUAUGGCCCUGAAAAGGAAACAUAGGUUUCCUGUAAAUGUCAUUCAGGGAUAUGCUAACUGUUAUUUCCUGGCACUGGAUCAUGAUGCUUUCAACACAUUCUGUUCCUCUACCUCUGCUGCUACCUCUGCUGCCUGCCUGCCUGGUUGUGCGCAGUGAUAGCUCUCCUGUCUUCUCACCUUUCCUCCUCCCCGCGCCAGGCAAAGGUAUUCUGGUUGGGAGGGCCAAUGUCAGCGAGCGAGAUGACAGACGGAGAGAUGAAAUCUCAGCCCUGCACUCAGCCUGGCUGCUGCCUGUACCUGGGCCUUGCUGCACCAUCCCUUGAACGCAAAGCAAUUCAAGGAAAAGAGUAACUUCUGUUACAUUAGAAAUCACGCAUUUCUGACCCAGAAAGAGAGGAAUUUCACAGUCUCUCAGGACAUGUGCUUGAAGGGAGGAUUUCUGGAGCCUAAACCAGAGGAGCCCAGGAGCUGCUGGUGUGAAGGCUCACCGCAAGCACCUGCUGCUUCUGGAGGAGUUCCUGUGGCAAUGCAUGUGCUCAGGAUGAAUAGGAAUCCAAGUUAACAGAAGGAAGAAACAACUCUUUUGUAGUAAUGCUCUGUAGGGCAUUAUCACAGCUAAUCUUAUGGUGAUUUCCUUCAGGAAACAUACCCUGGCCCCUGUCCACUAUCGGAUAGGUGAGAGUGAGGCGGUCUUUGCAGUGGUUAAGCACAAAUUUUGCAGAGAAGGGAUAAAGUGUUGUGGGCAAGGACCUGUGGGCUGAAAGUCAGAGUAACCAUGAUGCAGUGCCAUCACCCCACCUCACAGCUCAGAGUCUUGCAUAUCGCAUGGGCUGCCUGGAGCCUACACAGUUCACAGAGUGGAAAAAGGAAUUGAAGAAGCAAAAAUAAAUACUAAAGCAUGUAAGAAUUAAAUAUCACCUAUUUAAAUAGCAAUUACGCCGCUAAAAACAAGAUCACCACACCUGUACAAGAAAAGACAAGCAAGCCCAAAACAUCUGUUUGCAUCCACCUGCCAAGCACCUGUUCCGCUGUUUCAAUGCCAUUUGAUUGCUGGAGAUGUAGAGGCUCUUGUGAGGCUGGUCGUCACACAGGAAACUGUAUGCAGAGUCCAUCAGCCCAUGCUCUUCAUCACGAACUCAGUUGCUCUUUAAGACCAUCUCCCAGAGAUGAGGAAGAUGCGUUGAUCCAAACGAGACGCAGCCAAGCUUGGAGCAUCCUCUCUGCUCCAUCCCAAGGAACUCCAGGAACCGGAAACUGAACUUCAGAAUCAUGAAGAGCACUGCUAGAUGAAGACAUGGGCUGGAUACAUGUCUACCACACUAGAAGAAACUGAAAGAAUACGAUCCCAUUUGACUCCAAAAGUCUUUCUAGGCUAAUUACCAGCUCACAGAGCAGAGAAAUUAAGGCAGAGAGGGAAUGUUCAUGAUGACAACCUUUACCCAUUAGCAAGCUUUGCAUUUUCCCAAGGCUGAAGACAGUUUAGCCCUGACAAAUCCAAUCAGUGAUAUGCAGGCGUAACCUCCAGAAAUAAGCUCACAUUUUUAGGAUCCACGGGGCAAAAGAUGGACUGCAGUAAGUCACUAUGAAAAUAUUUAAAAUACAGCUUGGCCAGUGCUGAAAUGGCACAGUUGGCCUGAAGUCGCUUCAAGGUCUCCUGGCAUCUGCGUGUUUCCCCAGUGGCUUUGUGCAGUAAAGUGUUAACUUCUCCUGAGUGGUUACGUGUUUAAGGCAGUAACUUUAAAAUAAAGAACUGCAACCUUAGAGCAAAGCUGCUAUUUUGAGAAUUUUAAACCAUUAUUGACUCCUGUCAGAUCAGUUUCUAGACUUAUUGACUCAAGAAGUAAAUAUAGACUGAGAGAAAGCGAGGUCAAGUCAAUAUUUAUCUUGCAGAUCAAUACAUUUUGAUACUAACCAAAAAUUAAGCUCAAUAAAUGCAUAUAUUAUACACAGCAAGGUUAGAAGAGAUCCAUUCAGAAAAUUUGUCAAUUUGAAAUUUCCCAACGGAAUCCAACCUUUUGGAUUCAAUUUCCAUUAGAAAUUCUGUCCCUUUAAGGUUGCUUCAGUGACUGAUCACGAGCCCCCAUCACCCAAUCAGGUUUCCAGAUGAACGUUGAGUAGCAGCGAAAGGAAAAGGGAAGAAUGAUGAAGUGAGAAGAAGUUGGUCACAGGAGCUCGAUUACGGUGUUAGGAGGAGGAGAACGGAAGAGCUGGCAAGCUGAGACACUACCAGUACUUUGUGGAAACCGACAUAUGAAUUUGUUCUACAAAUGUGCCAGGGACACACUGAUCCAACAGUUAGAUCACUUCCAGAAGACACGGAGUUAGAUCUCUGAGUUCACUUCCAAUUGCUGACUACUACUAUCCAAUAAAAGAAAAAUUCUGCGUAAAGUAAACAAGGAAAAUGGAGGAGAUUCUGCUGGAAGGACAGAAGGGACAGCAAGCAUGGAGAUUUAAAUCAGAGGAAGACUGACUGUCACUGCAGAGGGGAAAGGGCAUGAGAAUGAGCACUGCAAGAAAAAAAAAUCAUCAAAAAAUUCCUCCUUCUCUGGGAUGAAUACAGGGGAGUAAAUGUGUUCCUACAAAAAUUGAAUUAUGUAGUGAUUUUAAAUAUGGUGUGAGAAUGAAGGACAUAUGAGCUGCAACGAGAGAACCAAAGAGGAAUUAUGUGAUGUGUUCAGGCUGGGAGUGUGCCUCACAUGACAACAGGAAGAGAGGAAAGGUGGAGGAAAAAAAAUGCAGAAUCGACUCUAUUCUGAGCCAUUAAUGUCAGCCAUGUUGAUGUUUUGUAGCUAGUUAUAUUUGCUGAUGGUUCCCACGCACUCAUGACAUUCAACUUUGCAUCAUCCCCUAAAAACUGGAAAGAUGUCUCUCUGAGAAUGACCUAUAGCUUUGAUAUCACCAUAACUAAUUUCCUUUUCCUAAAGUAAUGGUGCCUACUCUUGAGGAGCAGAAUGCUGUGAGCUUUUAUUUCCAGUCUGAGGACAGUUCUGUGAUAGGUGGAAUAAUGCCAGAACCUACUUUUCAUUAGAUUGUAUGAUCUGACUUUAUCUUGCAUGCUCUGUGUGGUUUGAGUGAAUAAAUCACACCAGAAUUUAUGGGGUUUUCAUCCUUACAAAUGAAUCUUCAUCAUUACUAUGUGGAUAUAAGUAUUCUUGGGCUGCAGAAGACAGUGAGACCCACCAGGGCAACACAAACUGAUGCCAACUUGCCACCUACUACUCCCUUAACCCAAAACUCCAAUGACCUGGGCCACUGAAACACUGGGAUCCCAUAGGGACCUGCCUGGCCAUUCCAUCUGGGGUUUGCAGGACAGGAUCCUGGUCUUUUGUGAAAACUGUUGACUAAAAAUUCAAUUUUCUCUUUCUCUUUUUUUCUUUUACUGUAAGAAUGGCAGAAGAGGAAUGGCCAGAAGCCACCUCCUUCUUGUUUGGACCAGCCUGCUUUUCUAAGGGCAACAAAAAGCAACAGAAGUGGUAGAGAAGAUGAAUGCAUCUUCCCUCCCUUCACAUAAAUUUGUGUUUUUUUUUUUCCUGUUGUUGUUGUUUUAUCCUUUUUUGUUUUAUUAUUUUUCCUAUUUAUUUUGCAAUUGGAAAAGUCCUGGGAUUUCAUUAACAACUUCCCAGGAUGACAGUGAGACCCUCACGACCCAGCAGCGAGUUCCAGUUCCCACCUGGGUGCCUCUGGAGAGUGACAAAUCUCUUGGAUGUGCUCUAACAUCCCAGAAGCACAGGCCAGGAACAUCUGUCUGUUCCUUCCCUUCCUUCAGACUGCCCCGAGGAGGAGGGAGGCAGGCAAGUAAUGAUACGAAAGGCAAAGGCUCAACUGGCCGUGUUACAUUAGCCAACUCAAAUAAUUCCUCUUGGCUGUGGAAACAGCCUUCCCAUCCAAAGCGGUCUUUUUUUUGUUUGUUUGUUUUUUUCCCUUUUUCCCCCCCAAAAAACAAGAACAGCUUAUUUCCAAUUUUGGGCAGGUUCCUUGGCCAUGGGCCAGCUCUCCCCACUGCCUCUCCGUGCUACUUCCCAAUGCCCCUCAAGUGACCUUACUGAAUGCCACGGGGACCAAACCUUACCGAACAGCAAAAUCAAAGUAUGCAAAUGAAGCUUGGAUUAUUACAUAUAUAAUGAUGAAAAUGUUUUUCCUAUGCUAUUGCCUGUGCCCAGCUUCCUUCCCUACCACUCUGAGUGCUUCAGAGCUGUGUAUAGCUGUUGAGCUGAAGCACCCAAGAAUGGCUCUGAAGCAGGAAGAGAGUUCAAUCUGCAGGCUGGUUUUCCAGGCACUUUCUUUCUCAUUCUCCACAAGAUAGUUGAUAUUCCUCCGGAUUUUGCUGUUAUUAUUUGGGUGUCUCUACUUCACAGAAAAGGGCAGAUGAAUGCCUUUUGCAGCCUCUUCAGUCCACUCUAGUUCUAUUUUAGGCUGAGAAGACUGUGCUGCUUGGGUAGAUGGGUGCAUUUCAUGCCAACAGCUUAGUCUUUCUGCAAAGUUAGGCAUCUCAGUUUGAAAAAAUAAGUACUAGGUAAAGCUGUUUGAAUCAGUGCAGGAAGCUGAGUUGCUAUCAGAUGUAUAUGGCAUAAAGUACGUAUCCUGAUGGGUACUCUUCUUCAAAGGAAAAGUGGUGAUGUUUACUUGUGCAUUUUAAUGAUGAGAGGAUGCGUACUGUGACACGAAAUCCUAUCCACUGUACCAGUUCAACAGCAUUUAAACACUGAAGUCUGAGCUACGCAUAACCAAUGGGAAGGAUGUGGAAGAACGCUUGCCUGAAGACACCUACUCUUUAUUUUUAUUACAAAGUCAAUUACCAUUUCAAAGCAGCCAUGUGACAUGUAUACUGUCAGGAGCCAGAUGUUGGCAUUGUGAUAUUGUGACAUUAAUUUAAAAGAAGAGUCUUUUUUUUUUUUUUUUUUUUUAAAUGCUGACUUCCCAAGGAUUAAGUUGGAUAUUCUCAAUGUAGUUGAAAAAAGAAUUUACAUUCCCCAAACACAAACAUUCUUGUUUUCUGUUUGGUUUUAUAACUCAGUCAUUUCUCUAUUGAAGAAGCACAAAACAGAAAGAACUUUUGGUUCCAGGUAGUUUCACUUCAGCUGAUCUUUCUAAAAGCAUGCACCUUUUUAGCUGUUUCAGUUAUGAAUCAUAGAAUGGCCUGGGUUGAAAAGGACCACAAUGCUCAGCCAGUUCCAACCCCCCUGCUAUGGGCAGUUGCCAACCACCAUAUCUUCUUUAUAAAGGGAAGUUUAUUAAGUAAAAUUUGGGUUACUGAGGUUUUAGCACAUGUUGCAUUGAAUCCCUUUUUUUCCCCCCUAAAUCACGUGGUUAAACUUAGUUUGGGUCUCUUACAACCAGAAUCCCUGCUGACUCCGCUCUGGUCCAGGCAGAUUGAACUGAGUCGCAACACUGCUGGUACGCGUCCUCAUCCCCAGUGCCAAGAAAAACCCUUUCCCUCUGUGUUUUCUUGUUAGCAAUACUGCUAUGGAGGCCAAGGACUGACAGUCUUUCUCUUAAUUCUCAAAUCCUCUCCUCCAACAGGGAAAAAGGAAAAAGAUUGAAAAACCUUUUGCUAUUGUUUGGUUGUUUGAUCAUAAAGGGGAACUAGACUGCCAAGCCAGCACCCCAGCAGCCCUAAAUCUAUGUGUAAAAUAUGGGCAAAAGGAGAGAAAAGAUUUAUUGUUAUUAUUAUCAUCACAGACUACCUUUAUAAUAUAUGUGUUUCACUUAAAUUAAUAUUUUAUAACUCUAUAUCAGCCUCUGCAGCCACCCAACAGCAUUUCUUAUUUAUCCAGUCGGACAUACUAAUUUGCUUUUAUCAAAAUACUUGAGAAAUAAUUGUCUUACCUCUCCUAGGACAUGCUACAGGGUUUAUUCUCUCCUUGCUAUCUACAUAGUUAUAAAUCCUCAUGCAUUGAGAGCAGAAUAGGCUUUAUGUGUCUAGCAAUUUCUUAUGAUUUCUAGGCUAUUAUCCCCAAAUCCUAAUUAACCAUUUUUAAAAAUAAUGUGGCCUUUCUACCACGUGAGAUAUACCAACAUGAUAAGAUACGAUGUGAAAGUCCCAAGUAUAAUGUAAUUCUGCUGCUUUACUUUUCCUCUUUUAUUAGAGAUUUCUAACAUAAUACUGCAUUUUCAUCCAAAGUGACAGGAUUCAGUACAUAGUUUGUAGUAUAUGUUUUGCAAACUGCCAGAACAGAGCCAUUGAAUUUAGUUUUCUAAUAAUCGUACAGCCAUACAACACGCCCGUACAUGUCAGAAACUGAAGAAAGCAAAUUUAUACACAACAACGUGUAUUUUGUGGAUAGCGAUAACCCACCCAAAUCUAAUUUAAUCAAAUAUUUAAAGAGGUAAUAAUUAAUUUUUAAAGAAUUGAAGUGAACCGUAACUAGGAGGAAAUGUUAUUGUUUAUUUUUAAUGCCAGAACUGUAUUCCUGAUGCAUUUUUAAUAUUUCAUUAAGGUGGUAACUUUCAUGGCGUAUUUUUUCAAGUUUCAUAUCUCCCUGAUUUAUUUCUUUUCUUCUGAAGAAAGGUAAAAUGCCAUAGGGAAACUUAAAGCUUAGAAUGAUGCAGUCUUUGAGGAGCUCUUCCUAAAACUUCCUGGAGUCUUUUUAAGCAGAAUUCUUCUUAAGCCUUUCUGGACAAGCAUUCUAAAACCAGAAGUCUUUUAAACAAGCUGAGGUACAGCAUCUGCUUGUGAGCUGAGCAAAGGGUUCUUCUUUCAGUCAAUGAAUGUGUUCAUCAGGUACUACUUUCUAUUCUGUCUCCAAGCUAUUACUCAUCACUCAUCAUUCUUACUUUCCAGAAGAGAUAUCUGCAAGAAUGGUUUUAAAGCCCAUUGCCUUUCAAACCUGUGUUCUGCCCUUCCUCAGUCCUUUGUUUUUUGUUUUAUCCCUUCUUUUUGAUGGAGCGUCUCUCACGUUUUUGAGCCUUUCAUACUCAAACUGUGGAAGCCUGUUUAUUUCACUCUGGCUCCAGCCCUAGUUAAAGGUGUGAACUACCAAAGUGGAAGGGGGCACAUGCACAUUAACACUGCUGUGGAAAACGUCGCCUGACAGAUGGAUGCAUGUUAAAUGGGUGUUUGAAGAAAGGUGUUUGCAAUAAAAAUCCUGAGUAUGGCAUCAGAGGAAGACCACACACAAUUUUCUACUUUUAUUUCUGUAAUAUAUAGGGGCCAGGCUAGUUCUGGUCUGCUUUAUACUGUCACUUACUCAUAUUUGCUAUUUUAUACUAAUAAUUUGUAUAUUAAUAUUUGUGUGUGUAUUUCAAAGUCUGGCUGUUUUCAAGGGUCUGCUCUGCAGCACAAGGGUCUGAGUCAACAUAGUAUAAAUCAUUGGUUUAUUCAAUAAACAAAAUAGUGAAAGGAUAAAUUGAAUUUCUCCAGUUUCAGUCACCAGUUCUUGAUCUCUGGGGGAUACUCACCUAAUAUGUUAGUUAUGGAGCUAUGAAUAUGAUGUGCAGAUACAUCCUUGCUUGGGUUUAUCUACCUUGACCUUAUCUACCCUAAGAACUGAAGUGUUUAAAUUCUGGUUGAGAAUUGAAGCAGGUGAUUAGAACUAGAUGAUCUUUGAGGGCCCUUUCAACCCAAGCCAUUCUAUGACUCUUUGAAAGAGGAACUGUAGAUAAGUUCACUCAAUUUCUGUUCCUAAGUCCUUAGCUGUUCUCUGGAUGGAUAACAGGAUUUUUUAGGCACAGCAUUGCAUUCUCUACCAUCUUUGCUCUUUUCCCAAAAUAUUUCUGACUCAGUCAUCUCCUGCCUACACAGCGAACUUUUGCGCCCCCUGACUUAGGCUGAAUUGGUUUCUCUUUAUGUACAAACAGGACUGCUUUUUCUUUCCUGAUUUCAUAAUUGCUAUUUCUAUUGGUUUGCUUCUUUUAGUUUUCAAUUCUACUUCAACUUGACUAUGAAGAUUAUCAAGAAAUAAAGCAUGAUUCACAUCUACACAUAGUUUACGACCUUUAGAUUCAAGCCCCUUUAUAUAAACUUGCAAAUACGAAAGGAUACGUCAUAAGACCUUGUAGGCACCCAAACUGUCAGUGAAUUCAGCC
rnacentral:lncRNA from 1 species